UGGGAUAUCGCCAAGCGGUAAGGCACCGGCUUUUGAUGCCGGCAUUCCCUGGUUCGAAUCCAGGUAUCCCAACCA
rnacentral:tRNA from 2 species